rnacentral:rRNA from 1 species
AAAGCAGAUAAUGAAUGCCUUGGAUACUAGAGCCGAAGAAGGACGCGACUCAGGCCGCGAUAGUCAUCGGGGAGCUGCCAAGAAGCUUUGAUCCGAUGGUCUCCGAAUGGGGAAACCCACUCCGAUGAAAAUCGGAGGACCCCGCACCGUUAUGGUGCAGGGAGGGAACGCCUCGAACUGAAACAUCUAAGUAGGGGCAGGAAAAUAAAUCCCGCGUUGCGGGAGAUUUCGUAAGUAGCGGCGAGCGAAAGCGAAACAGUCUAAACCCGUCAAAGUUUUGCGUAAGCAAAAUUUAGUCGGGUGUUGCGGGGCAGACGAUAUAGGAUUGAAUUUGGAUAGGAGAAUGGUUUGGAAAGAUCAGCCAAAGAACGUGAUAGCCGUGUAAACAAAAUUCAAAUUCACCUUAGUUUGUACCCAAGUACCAUGAGACACGUAUCUUGUGGGAAUCCGGGGUGGCCACACUCCAAGACUAAAUACUCUAGUGUACCGAUAGUGAACUAGUACCGUGAGGGAAAGGUUAAAAGAAGGGUCAAGAACCCAGUGAAAUAGAACCUGAAAUUAUCUGCUAACAAGCAGUGAGAGUCUUUUAGUCGCAAGAUUAGGGGAUGAUCGCGUGCCUAUUGAAGAAUUAUCCGGCGAGUUUUCGUUUUGUGCGAGUUUAUGUUGACUAAGUCAACGAAGGCGUAGGGAAACCGAGUCUGAAUAGGGCGUUUAGCACAAGAUGGAAGACCCGAAACCUGGUGAGCUAACCAUGAGCAGGGUGAGUCCCGAUGACCAUCGGGAGGAGGCCCGCACUCUUUAGAGUUACAAAUCUAUGAGACGACUUGUGGUUAGAGGUAAUAUGCCAAUCGAACCAGGAGAUAGCUGGCUCUCCCUGAAAUAUAUAUAGGUAUAGCCUUGCAUAUGAGCUAGUGGGAGGUAGAGCACUGGAUGCUUUUGGUGACGCAAGUCAUCACGAGCAAUCAAACUCCAAAUACCCAUUAGUGUUUUGCAGGAGUCAGAACGGCGCGGCUAAGCGCGUCGCUCUAAAGGGAAACAACCCAGAUUGUCGUCUAAGGCCUCUAAGUAAAUGCUAAGUGUUAAACGUAGUUGAAUUCCUUAAACAGUCAGGAGGUUGGCUCAGAAGCAGCCAUCCUUUAAAGAAAGCGUAACAGCUCACUGAUCUAUUCGGGAAUUUGGCGCGAAAAAUGAAUCGAGGCUCAAGCAUUUCGCCGAAGACACAGAUUUAUAUUUACCUCCGGGUAAAUGUAAGUGGUAAGGGAGCGUUGAAGUUGCAGUGAAGGGCCGGCGUAAGCCAGGUCUGGAGCGACUUCAAGUGAGAAUGCCGGAAUGAGUAGCGUAAUCCCGGUGAGAAUCCGGGACGCCGAAUGUCCAAGGUUUCCUGGGCUACAUUGUUUGUCCCAGGGUUAGUCGGCUCCUAAGGCGAGGCGGCAGUACCGCGUAGUCGAUGGACAAACCGUUAAGAUUCGGUUACAUAGUGAAUAUCGUUAAUAAUUGGGGAUGGACAAAGGAAGAGGAUCCAGGCGCAUUCGUGAAGUUGUCGCCUAAGUAGUAAGGUAGUUCCGAUUGGCAAAUCCGUUGGAACGUUUUAAUCCGAGCUAUGAAUGGGAGUUUGCUAAGCAAUUAGCGAGCAAGUUGGAGCCCUUUUGCUUUCAGGAAAAGAUUCGCAAUGAGAGAUUCAUUAUGCCGUACCGCAAACCGACACAGGUGGACUGGUCGAGUAGACCAAGGCGAUCGGGAGAAGGUGGUUCAAGGAACUCGGCAAAAAAGCUGGACGUAAUUUCGAGAGAUGUCCUUCCUCCAUUUAUGGAGGGUGCAACAAAAGAUUAUUCUGCGACUGUUUAACUAAAACACAGGUCUGUGCAAACUCGAAAGAGAAAGUAUACAGGCUGAGGCCUGCCCAGUGCUCGUAAGUUAAGUGAAUUGGUGAGAUUACAUCAAGCCUUGAAAUGAAGCUCGAGUGAACGGCAGCAGUAACUAUAACUGUUCUAUGGUAGCGAAGUUCCUUGUCGGGUAAGUUCCGACCCGCACGAACGGCUUAACGACAGAAUAACUGUCUCGAACCAUCACCCGGCGAAAUUGAAAUGGCUGUGAAGAUGCGGCCUACUUCUACUAGGACAAAAAGACCCUAUGGAGCUUUACUGUAUUCAGGCCCUGUUUUGGAUUUUAAGAUAGUUUAGUGUAGGAGGGAGCCUUCGGGCGCAAGUGAAACACCUCUCGUUUUGGAAUCUCAAAACUAACCUAUCCUAGCUGGAUCGCUAGGGGAGACAAGGUCUGAUGGGCAGUUUUACUGGGGAGGUAUCCUGCUAAAGAGUAACGCAGGAGUGCUAAGGUACUCUAUGCUCGGAUGGAAAUCGAGCGAGUCGCGUAAUGGCAAAAGAGUGCUUGACUGUGAGAGGGACACCUCGAGCAGGGACGAAAGUCGGUCAUAGUGAUCCCCCGCAGCGCAGUGGUUGCGCUCGGGGCUUAACGGAUAAAAGCUACCCUAGGGAUAACAGGCUGAUCGCCUCCAAGCGUCCACAGCGACGAGGCGGUUUGGCACCUCGAUAGACCCAUUCUGGGUCAGUGUCGCACUAAGAAGCAAUUUUUAGUGAAGAAAAUUUAGCUCAUAUCGGUGAAACCCGACUAGAACUUUGAACCCGUUCUAAGGGUAAUACCGAGGGAAGUCGUCAAGCUAGGCUUGAUUGACCCCGUAACGACUUUUCGAUUUCAAAAAUCGGAAGAUUCUUUCCACACGGUGGGAGGGAUAACACGCUAAACGCUCCGAUGAUCGUCGGAGAUGAUGGUAUAGUCUAUGCCCUGCGUAAUCAGGGAAUUACAUGGUCGGCUCACCGCAUCCUGGGGCUGGAGAAGGUCCCAAGGGUCCGUCUGUUCGCCGGUUAAAGCGGUACGUGAGCUGGGUUCAGAGCGUCGCGAGACAGCUCGGU